AUUGAACGCUGGCGGCAUGCCUUACACAUGCAAGUCGAACGGCAGCACGGGUGCUUGCACCUGGUGGCGAGUGGCGAACGGGUGAGUAAUACAUCGGAACAUGUCCUGUAGUGGGGGAUAGCCCGGCGAAAGCCGGAUUAAUACCGCAUACGAUCUACGGAUGAAAGCGGGGGACCUUCGGGCCUCGCGCUAUAGGGUUGGCCGAUGGCUGAUUAGCUAGUUGGUGGGGUAAAGGCCUACCAAGGCGACGAUCAGUAGCUGGUCUGAGAGGACGACCAGCCACACUGGGACUGAGACACGGCCCAGACUCCUACGGGAGGCAGCAGUGGGGAAUUUUGGACAAUGGGCGAAAGCCUGAUCCAGCAAUGCCGCGUGUGUGAAGAAGACCUUCGGGUUGUAAAGCACUUUUGUCCGGAAAGAAGUCCUUGGCCCUAAUACGGUCGGGGGAUGACGGUACCGGAAGAAUAAGCACCGGCUAACUACGUG
rnacentral:rRNA from 1 species